rnacentral:tRNA from 1 species
UGUUCAGUCCAAUCCCCACUCUAUACUAUAAUUCUAAAAAUAGAAAAAAAGGAAUACGAAAGAGAGAUAGGCGCCUUU